UACGAAGGGUGCUAGCGUUGUUCGGAAUCACUGGGCGUAAAGCGCGCGUAGGCGGCUUUUCAAGUCAGGGGUGAAAUCCUUGGGCUCAACCCAAGGACUGCCUUUGAAACUGUAAAGCUGGAGUGUCGGAGGGGAUAGCGGAAUUCCUAAUGUAGUGGUGAAAUACGUAGAUAUUAGGAGGAACACCGGUGGCGAAGGCGGCUAUCUGGACGACAACUGACGCUGAGGCGCGAAAGCGUGGGGAUCAAACAGG
rnacentral:rRNA from 1 species